rnacentral:rRNA from 1 species
UACAGAGGUCUCAAGCGUUGUUCGGAUUCAUUGGGCGUAAAGGGUGCGUAGGUGGCGGGGUAAGUCAGGUGUGAAAUCUCGAGGCUCAACCUCGAAACUGCACUUGAUACUGCCUUGCUGGAGUACUGGAGAGGAGAUUGGAAUUUACGGUGUAGCAGUGAAAUGCGUAGAUAUCGUAAGGAAGACCAGUGGCGAAGGCGAAUCUCUGGACAGUUACUGACACUGAGGUGCGAAAGCGUGGGGAGCAAACAGG